rnacentral:rRNA from 1 species
UACGUAGGGUGCAAGCGUUGUCCGGAAUUACUGGGCGUAAAGGGCUCGUAGGCGGCCAACUAAGUCAGACGUGAAAUCCCUCGGCUUAACCGGGGAACUGCGUCUGAUACUGGAUGGCUGGAGUUUGGGAGAGGGAUGCGGAAUUCCAGGUGUAGCGGUGAAAUGCGUAGAUAUCUGGAGGAACACCGGUGGCGAAGGCGGCAUCCUGGACCAAUACUGACGCUGAGGAGCGAAAGCCAGGGGAGCAAACGGG